rnacentral:rRNA from 1 species
AGUAGUUUGAUCCUGGCUCAGGACGAACGCUGGCGGCGUGCCUAACACAUGCAAGUCGAGCGGACUUGUUACUGGAAAGUGCUUGCACCGGAAGGUAACAAGUUAGCGGCGGACGGGUGAGUAACGCGUGAGCAACCUGUCCUCUACAGGGGGAUAAGAUCUCGAAAGGGAUUCUAAUACCGCAUGAGACCACGGUAAGGCAUCUUACAGGGGUCAAAGGAGCAAUCCGGUAGAGGGUGGGCUCGCGUCCGAUUAGAUAGUUGGUGGGGUAACGGCCUACCAAGUCGACGAUCGGUAGCCGACCUAAGAGGGUGAUCGGCCACAUUGGGACUGAGACACGGCCCAGACUCC